rnacentral:tRNA from 33 species
GGAAGGGUGGCAGAGUGGUCGAUUGCAGCGGUCUUGAAAACCGCCGAUGUGCAAGCAUCCGUGGGUUCGAAUCCCACCCCUUCCGCCA